AGAAUGAGAAAUAAUUAAGGUCUCUGGUAACUUUACUAACAGAAAUCAAAUUAAACGUCAACUUUGGUAGAUUUAAGACAGAUGACAAGGUAAUAGAGGAAGUUGCUUUUACAGUCCCAAAUCCAACACUAGUACAAGUUGAUCCAUCAGUAACCGGAGAAGGUGCUUUGUGUGAUUGAAAGCUAUAAAAAUUAUUAGGAUUACCUGUCAUGUGAUUUGCGGCACCUAAGUCAAUCACCCAUUUAUUUGAAGAGGUGAUAAGACAUGUUUUAAAUGAUCCAGCAAAAGCAUUAACCGAAGUGGAUUCCUUCAGUGAUUUCUGAUAUUGAGAAAACUUAACAAAUUCCUCGACCGAGAGCAAAAUCAUUUUAUCGGAAGACGGACUAUGAACAGUAGAAAUACUAGCCAAAGUCUUCAUUUCUCUGCCUGUGUUACUUGUCAUUUUCAAACAAGUCCACAGUACCUAAAAAGAAAUUUCUAACAGAGAGCUUAACCAAACUAUCGUUCCCCACCAACAAACUAGAAUAGACUAACCAAAGUGUUGUGCACAGUAGCUCCUAACUAUGGUACUAUAAAGCACCCAACAGUAAUAGAUUCCAAACAAUUUUGACUAAGAAACCAAGAGUCGAAAUUCAAAUCUGAUUCCAAAAAAGUAGCUAUGGAGAAACCAAGGCAACGAGAUACAAAUCAUAUUUCAAAGAAAAAAUAUCAUAAAAUGUCAAAGAAAAAUAAUUCCGAUCCAAAACCAAGGGCAAGCAAAACGUAGAACGCGAUUACCGUUGUUUACUAUAAUCUGAUGAUGGAAACACCAAAAAUACGCUGAAUUCUAUCUCGCGAUGUUGGAGCCUAAGAAUCAGACCAAAUAGGACCUAUCAAACGCUCACACUAGCUGCUGGAGAAAUCCUGCCGGAAAGUUAUCGCCGGCGCUAGAGUUUCACGUACUUGGAAUUCGGGCACCGGAUUCUUGGUUUCUACAGAUCGGAGGGAGACUAUUCUCCCUAUGUAGGCUAUGACUGCCACUUCUCACCUCAGCGAAAAAUCCGGCGAGGCAGUGAACCAAUUCCGACGAGGCAGUGAACUAAUUCCGACAAAGACACAAGCUUGGCUCUGAUACCAUGUUACUGAACAAGGAUACAAGAGCAGAAGGCAGAAGAAGGGUUGCUCGAAUUCAAAGACAACUGCUACUUAUGGAAGUAGAAAGAAAAAUUAUGCAAUUGGAGAGCUUCAAAUAUCAAGGACAAGUAAGGAUAUCUGUACUUUUUCAGUGUCUUAUAUGAUCAAACUAUUAGAUUUACAAUAUUCAAUAUUUUCUAUGCGAUCUGGUGUGAACUGUGAUCAAUCUUGAUGCACAUUACUAUAUGAGAUGUAUGCUUUUGACGUUUCUGGUUACAAAUUGGAUUAAACCGUAUUAUGCCCUACUGUGUGUUCUGAAGUAGUACUGGAUCCACAAUUGUCUUGAGGGUUUAUGAAGAAAAGAAAGUUGUUACAUGGAGAGGAACCUGUUGAUGUUACUUCGACAUGUUGAGCUUGAGUAAAGUUAAAUAAGAAAAGAUGAAACUAUAUCUGAAACCCUCUUAUAGUUAUACAGUUGUGCCCAGUUAGCUCUAGUAAAUUAAGGUUUGUCCUAGUCUGUCUGCUGUUUUAGCUCUCUUAUUCAUGUUCCACUUCCAUAUCAUUUCUAGCAUGAUGUUAUCAAAUAAGAAGCUAUUGCACCCAAGGGCGUGCCCAAGUGGUCAAUGAAGUGGGUUGAAAACCUUGAGGUCUCAGGUUCAAAUCCCAGUUGAGGCAAAAAAGACGGUGUCAUUUCUUUGCAUCUAUACAAGCCUUGUUGGACCGAGUUAUCUGGUACUUGUGCUGGCGGGAGGUAGCAGGUACCCCCGAGGAAUUAGUCGAGGGUGGCGCAAGCUGGCACGGACACCACAGUUACCCAAAAGAAAAAACAAGAAGCAAUUGCUGUCAUUCUGUUUUUUCUAGUAGCUACGUAGAACUGCAAAUACAUAUGUCUAGGAGGCGAAAUGUUGGCUAGACUGCUUUUAGCCAGAUUAAUUUUUCCUGUAUCAGGUAGUUUGGUUAAACCCCUCGAUGCAUCCUCCCACCUGGAAAAAAAAGGAUUAAAAGAAAACUAAGAGACUUGAUGAGUUUUUAAGGAGUUCUCGUUGAUAUCAAAUGUAAUUCUUCAACAAGUUGUUUAAUGCUUGUUUCUUGUUUCCUUCUCUCUUCUACUCCUUGCACAUUUCAGGAAAAAGCUGCAGAGUGCAUGUUUGGAUUGGCGUUAUAUAAUCUUGAUCGCUUAUUCUAUGCUGUGGAAGGCCAUGCAAGGGCAACCGAUGAAUGGAUAAAGUUUCUUUGUCUUUCAUCCUAAUUUUUAUUAGCCUUUAGACUUGGCAUAAUACAUAAACAAACCCUUAAACUUUGCCUCAGCUGGCAAGUAUGUCCUCCAACUUUGGGUGCGCACAAGUAGGCACCUCAACUUCUCUAAAGUUGAACAUGUGAACACAAAUGCUGACGUGGCACAAACAUUUUGGAGGGCCACGUCAUUGCCACAUCAGUACCACGUCAGCAUUUGUGUUUACAUGUUCAACUUUAUACAAGUUGAGGUAUCUACUUGUGCACACUCAAAGUUGGAGGGCAUACUUGCCAGCUGAGACCAAGUUGAAGGGCCUGUUUAUGUAUUAUGCCUUUAGACUUUUCGCCAAUCUAAUAUAAGUCGCUUGAAAUAUUUCUCUGUAACAUUUCCGUUUAAACAGUUUGAGGUAGGAUAUCAUUGACUUGGUAAAGCCAGACACUCAAACUGCUCAAAACUCAAGAUCACCUCACGCAUGGAGCGCGUAUAUGACUGCUUGUUUCCUCUACCAAGACAUCGAUAGUACAGACAAUCUUCAAAUUUUCUAUUUAUUGGGGCACACAUAAGAACAGUUUUUCUUGGUAUAAAUGUAAAUGGAGAACCCCCACACCCCGUCCCUUUUUUUUUCCUCGGGGUUAUAUUUUGUCCUAAUGCUGGGGCAUUUGCUGUUUUUGUUGCAAUGUCCACCAAUUUUGAUAAUGUACAACUGAAUAUAGAAAUCCUGCUACCACUCCCCACCUUGGACAUGUUUUUUUCCUUGUGACUUCUUAUUUGAUAUGACUUGUUUAUAAAUAGAGAUAACACUUUUACUGAAAUAGGUUUAUAGACAAGUUGCUUAAAAAGAAGUCAAGUGGCUGAACGCCCCUACUACUUACUUUGUUUGAUUCAAAAGGAUGGGCCCUUCCACUCGUAAUUUUGAUAUUAAGCUUUACCUUACCUUUAAGAAAAGCGGUAGGAAUAACUCUUCAACUGAAUCCUGUACACCCUAUCUGCCCCUUUCACUUAAUAAAACCUUUUUGCAUGGUGUCUGCGUUACUUUAUUCAUUGACGUGCCCAAAGUCGAUUCUAGAAUUUUGAUUUAAUGGGUUUAAACUUUAGCUUCCUAACUGAACUCAUUACACUUUUGAAACUACGGGUUCAUAAUUUAUUAGUAUUUAUUAAAAUUUCAUUGAUUUUUCAUAUAUAUUUCUAUGCUCUGUGUUGAAAAUGUUGAGUUCAUAUGAAUCUAGCACUUAUAUUCUCCAUCUGCCACAAAGAGCAUUAGCAGCUGCUACUACAAUUUUCUGGUAAUUACUGUUCUACUAAGAAUAAUAUAUUAGCUUAUUUGAACAGAGGUUUAUGUUUUUCUUUAUGAAUUUAAAUAAAUAACUCUUCGUGUAUAGGUGCUAUAAAGAAAACGAAGGAUUAUCUCGAUGAUAAUAUAUAUACUUUUAUAUUUUAUCUGUAUAUAUAGGUUUAGCGAUGUUACACCUCGGACAUUUAGUGUUGUUGUGCCGUGAAUAGACUAACGCAAGCUUAAGGUGAACGUGAAGUCCAUAUGACCUUAAGGAGUGUAUUUGAUAGCUAUAGAGUGCGUACUACAAGAUUUCGAAGUCACACGAAUUGGUGGAACUAAGUUCGUUGAAGGAAGUGAAAUAUAAGUUGUGUUUGGGAAGGUUUUCGCAAUAAUUGAGUUAAUAUUUAUUUAGAAAUAUUGUGAGGAAGAGUUAUAGGGCUCCUUAGAUGGUUAAUGAAGUGUUAUACAAAUGUCAAGAAGGUUCCACGAGGAUUGGAAGUCAAACGAAUCAACGAGAGAAAGUUCAGAAAAAGUGGGUUAUACGACCACUUAUACGGUCCUUAUUACUUUAUACGGUCCGUAUAAGGGUCCGUAUAACCUUUCCAGAGAAGGUCAAUCCCUAGUGGGAUUAUAUGGUUACUUAUAUGGACCGUAUAAGUGUCCGUAUAACCAAGUCGGGUCAGAUUUUCUCCAAUUAUAUAUAUAUAUGACCCAUGUUCAUAUUUUUCAUUUCCCACAGUCUCCACAACUAUUGAAAGCUCUAGAACAUUCCCCAUGUCAUAUUAACACAAACCCAAGAUAAAUCAAAGAUUAAAUACUAAGAAUCAAGAGAAUCAAGUGUGGAGAGACUCUCUAGGGUUUGUAGAGUUCAAGAUUUCUUUGGGUAUUGAAGUUGGAGUUUCAUUCAAGUGAAGUUCACUAAUCCAAAUUUCAUCCUUGUAAAAUAAAAGGUGAGUUUUACAUCUAUUUCAUGUUAUUAAGAGUAUUUGGUUGUUGAAUAACUUGGAUGAAGGAAGAAAGUAGGAGGUGAAGCUCAAACAUGGAUUUAAUGAUAUUUUUGAGUAGUAAAUUAACUUGAGUCAUGAUUCUUAGUAUGCUAUGAGUAUAAUCUUGUUGUGGGUGGUACUAAUGAUGUUGAGGAAGUAUUAUAUGUAAAUGAAUAUGGUGUUGUGUUGUAGUUAUUGUUGUGGAUGACUUUGAAAGGGAGUUUUGAUAAUUGAACAAUGCUUAACUUGAAGAAGUCUAUUGAUUAUGGUACUAUAGGUGUUGCUAUUGAUGUUUGGGAGUUGUUUAUUAUAUGGAGGAAAUUAACGAAACAAAGGAAAUGCUGCCCAAAUCCCGUUAGCUCCUAGUUGCUUAGUUUAAAGUUAAGCAUGUCUUCAAUGACCUAACCUUAGUACGAAUUCUCUUGAAUGUAGAGGCGUGAGCUUGGAAGGAGAACGUUUAGUCAUUAAGGAAACGCAAAGAUAGACAGGGAGGCGGUCUAGAUUCCUAAGAGCUUAUCAACAGAUAUACAGGAGCACUCCACUACUCCGGAGUUGCAGUUUAUUGGUAUAUUCUUUUGUGUUCAUAUAUGGGGCAUGGCGGGGUCCUGUCCCGUCCUUAUGAUUUUCAGUACUCCAGUUGGAGGCUCAUGGACAUGUGUGGAUAGUAGAUAUUUCAUGACCUUAUUAGUGUAUAUUUUGUACAUCAUUUUGUAGCCAUGUGGGCUUGUUUAUAUAUAUGUUUGAGAUAGAAUCGAAGAAUGCUUCAUAAU